ACAUGAAGCAGGAUUUUACAUAUGAGCUGUUUUAUGCAAUAUCUUUUUAUAGAGACCUACAUUGUUUGGGGGGUAUAGUUUUCCUUUAACAGAGAGGCUAUCAUGAAAUCUUGAGGAAAUGGGUGUGUAGAAAAAAAUUAUAUUUGCAUCUGGCAGCUACAAAUAUGGAAGGGGGUGGAAUAAUAUUUUUAUUAUGGAAAUAGUUCAGGAAAUAUUUAGUGCAGCAACCAGGGGGCAUUAGUCAGUACGGUUGGUUUGAAGGGGGGGGCUAUAUAAGGAAGUGCACAAGCUAGGCACUUCCUUUUUGGCCUAACAUCCUCCACAGGCGAGGAAGAAAUACCAGCUGAGAGUCAGACCAGGUGGGUACCUGUUGCUUGCUACGAUAAGAAAGGAAGCAGAGUGUUAGCUCACUAUAGAAGCGAGAGAUUAGGAUAGCUAGCAGUAAGCAGAGUAGCAGAGUAAUUUGGGUAGAGCCUGAGGUGAUUGUGUGCCAGUUAGGGAUUGAGUAUGUGUAGGAGUAGGUUAGUUGGAGCUGUAGUGAGAGCUUGGGAGAAGCUUUGGUCACUAUGCUGGACACCGCAGAGAAGUAGGGGGGGGGGGGGAUAGUCUGUGAGGAGAGUAGGCCCCCUCAGCAGUUAACAGUGCUAUUUACUUCCACAUGGCAGGGGUCCUGGAGGCUUCAAGGAAGACACGCUGUUUGUGUGAGAUAGUGAAGAGUAUUCUCAUUUUACUGUGGUGUGCUCAUUCCUUGCUUUCCAGUCAGCAGUCCUUGAUGUGUUGAACUACAAUUCCCCAUCUUUUUUACUUUAAUAUACAUGCUAUCAUUAAACCAUUUGUAUUUUGAUUAAAGUGACAGCAUAUUAAAAAAA